GCGCAUGCGCACGGAGGGGAGGCCUACCCGGCGAGGGUUUGCUGUCGGGCAGCGGCGCCGCCUCUGGCCGGCUGGGAAAGGCGGGAACGGCAGCCGCUACUGAGGAAACCUAGAGCCGAACUUGCCGCGUAGGGCGAAGCGAAAAAGAAUGUGUGUUGAAAUCGGCUCCGCUGCAGCUCUGUACUGUACUGGAUGGAAAUUCCUACAUGUACAUGCAGGAGUCGGUUUUUUCCUCCUUUUCCGUCGCAGUGGGUCCAUUUCCUUGCUCUUCCCGGCUAAUAGUAGUGCCUGCCUAUCUCCGCCGGAAUUCUAUAAUAAAAGAUGCAGACUUACAACAUUGCCAUGUCUUACUUCCAUCUAAGUUUUAGAAAGACGGAGGAGAUAGUCAGCAGGAUAUCAAAGAGAAGUUCCUCAGUUUGGUUACCAACAGUGCAAUUCUACGCAGUCUAAUCGUUUAAUGGGGCUUCCUACCAGAGCUCUCAUCCUUGUAACAUCACAGCUGCUCAAAUGGCAGGAAUGAAGCAGUCGUGAGACUGAGGCUGUGGUGGAAAAUGGCUCUAUCUGUGGUAUCUGCACAGCUCUGAGUUCACCACUACCCCACCCAGGAAAGGCACUUCAAAACAUCCCCAUCUGUCCACCUUUGAAAUCAAGAAAGGACUCAAACUGGGGGUGAAAACAAGGUUGGCAUUUUGACCCUCAUCAUUGGAUGUACAAACUACCAACAUCCUGUACAAGAACUGAAUGUGUAAGAUAUGCCAGCUAAGGAGAACCCUUCAAGCAGUAGCGGAAGUGGGCUCUCGUCCAC